UACGGAGGAUCCAAGCAUUAUCCGGAAUCAUUGGGUUUAAAGGGUCCGUAGGCGGUUUAGUAAGUCAGUGGUGAAAGCCCAUCGCUCAACGGUGGAACGGCCAUUGAUACUGCUAGACUUGAAUUAUUAGGAAGUAACUAGAAUAUGUAGUGUAGCGGUGAAAUGCUUAGAGAUUACAUGGAAUACCAAUUGCGAAGGCAGGUUACUACUAAUGGAUUGACGCUGAUGGACGAAAGCGUGGGUAGCGAACAGG
rnacentral:rRNA from 1 species